GUGGGGGAUAUUGCACAAUGGGGGGAACCCUGAUGCAGCGACGCCGCGUGGGGGAUGAAGGCCUUCGGGUUGUAAACUCUUUUCGCUUAUGAACAAGCCGCUCUUUUUGGGGGUGGUGAGUGUAGUGGGUAAAGAAGCGCCGGCUAACUACGUGCCAGCAGCCGCGGUAAUACGUAGGGCGCGAGCGUUGUCCGGAAUUAUUGGGCGUAAAGGGCUCGUAGGUGGCUGGUUGCGUCUGUCGUGAAAGCUCAUGGCUUAACUGUGGGUUUGCGGUGGGUACGGGCUGGCUUGAGUGCAGUAGGGGAGAUUGGAAUUCCUGGUGUAGCGGUGGAAUGCGCAGAUAUCAGGAGGAAUACCGGUGGCGAAGGCGGGUCUCUGGGCUGUUACUGACGCUGAGGAGCGAAAGCGUGGGGAGCGAACAGGA
rnacentral:rRNA from 1 species